GCCCAGGACAUUGAAAUUUUUUAAGAUUAACAAAGCCUGUAUAAAGCAUGGAUAAAUUGAGACGAAAAUGAAACUCAAGGCUUUCUGCAGAUACAAAUAUCAAAGCACUAUCAGCCAUGAAAGUUUUGUUGGAUCUUACCUCUGAUGGUGAUUAUCAUCUGGUGAUGGAAGGUAGUCAUGCUUUAUUUCGAGGUUUAAUUUGUAAGUGUGGUACAAAUUAGUAACAAAUUGGCCUCUCAAUUA